rnacentral:lncRNA from 1 species
CAAUAUUUUAUUUUAUUGAUUCAAUAAUUGUUGCGUUGAUAUUUUAUAUUAUUGUGGUUUCAAUAAUUGUCACUGCACAGUAUUUCCCAUUAUCAGAUCAAUAAUUCAUAUUAUUUGAAUAAUAUUAUUAGAUAGCAUUAUUGGCAAUGUCUAGAAAGUUCUGUCAAGGAGAGGUUUGGUCACCUAAUUGCGCGCCAGUAAGGAGAAAU